rnacentral:rRNA from 1 species
AACGAACGCUGGCGGCAGGCUUAACACAUGCAAGUCGAACGCCCCGCAAGGGGAGUGGCAGACGGGUGAGUAACGCGUGGGAAUCUACCGUACCCUACGGAAUAACGCAUGGAAACGUGUGCUAAUACCGUAUACGCCCUACGGGGGAAAGAUUUAUCGGGGUAUGAUGAGCCCGCGUUGGAUUAGCUAGUUGGUGGGGUAAAGGCCUACCAAGGCGACGAUCCAUAGCUGGUCUGAGAGGAUGAUCAGCCACAUUGGGACUGAGACACGGCCCAAACUCCUACGGGAGGCAGCAGUGGGGAAUAUUGGACAAUGGGCGCAAGCCUGAUCCAGCCAUGCCGCGUGAGUGGUGAAGGUCUUAGGAUUGUAAAGCUCUUUCACCGAUGAAGAUAAUGACGGUAGUCGGAGAAGAAGCCCCGGCUAACUUCGUGCCAGCCGCCGCAGUAAUAC